rnacentral:rRNA from 1 species
GUUGGGCGAGGAUGAUUUGAGGAGACAUAUGUUGAAUUGAAUCAUUCGAGCAGCGGACGGGUGAGUAAAGCACAAGGACUUGUCCGAAAGAGAGGGACACCUGCGGGAAACCGGAGCUAAUACCUCAUAAGCCGGAAGGUGAAAAGCAGAGAUGCGCUUUUGGAGAGACUUGUGUCCUAUCAGGCAGUUGGUGAGGUGAAAGCUCACCAAACCGAAGACGGGUAGCCGGACUGAGAGGUCGACCGGCCACAUUGGAACUGAGAGACGGUCCAGACUCCUACGGGAGGCAGCAGUGGGGAAUAUUGGGCAAUGGGCGGAAGCCUGACCCAGCGACGCCGCGUGAGGGAAGACAGCCUUCGGGUUGUAAACCUCUGUUGCAGGGGAAGAAGGAAGUGACGGUACCCUGCGAGGAAGCUCCGGCUAACUACGUGCCAGCAGCCGCGGUAAUACGUAGGGAGCGAGCGUUGUCCGGAAUUACUGGGCGUAAAGGGCGCGUAGGCGGCGCUUCAAGUCGUCUGUCAAAUGGAAGGGCUUAACCCUUUUUCGCAGACGAAACUGGAGAGCUUGAGAAGCAGAGAGGCAAACAGAAUUCCUGGUGUAGCGGUGAAAUGCGUAGAUAUCAGGAAGAAUACCAGUGGCGAAGGCGGUUUGCUGGCUGCAUACUGACGCUGAAGCGCGAAAGCCAGGGGAGCGAACGGGAUUAGAUACCCCGGUAGUCCUGGCAGUAAACGAUGUAUGCUGGGUGUGAGACUAGCGAUAGUUUCGUGCCGAAGUUAAC